CAUGCGUCACAGGCCUUGGUACCAAGCAGAGCAGCGGCCUCCCAUUCACUGCAACUGCAAGUCGAUCUACAAGCUCAACCAACCCCCAGUUCUUCCAUAGCGAGAUCGAUCUGAAGCACAAUCAAGUCCAUCCAAGCAGAUAUUUUCCCUACCAAGCAGAGCAGCGGCCUCCCAUUAAUUAUUGGUACCGCCGCCAGUCCUCGGCUCAUUCACUGUAACUGCAAGUCGAUCAACCAAAGCCCAUCCAUUAUUCUUCGUAGCUCUAUCUAUUAAUCCUGCUUAAUGUUUUCUCGAUCUAGCUUUCUUUCUUUCUUUUGAACGAAAUAUCCUCGAUCUAGAUUUCCACCCUAUUAUUUUUUUUCUUUUUCUCGCUUUGUUCUUGAUUGUGCUUGAAAUCCUAGCCGAUAGCAGCAUGUUCUUGGUAGCCUGUGUAAAUAGCUCAAUGUUCUUGGUAGCCUUGCUACCGUUCUUACAAAUAUAUAUAUUGAUAUUAGAUUGCACUUGAUGCAUGGACAAGCUGCAGUAGUGCUUGGCUCAUUCAUGACAAGCUGCGCUUCAUCUUCAACUCAAUCACCCAUCAAUCCUUCACUCUUUCCUCAAGCACAAUCCAAGAGCUGAACCAGCAGCAGUAAGGGUGUUUACAUGUAUUAAUCUGUUAUAUCAGCUCUGCACAUGCACAAGAGCCAUAGGCAUGGAUCUUGUGUCCGGGGCGGUGGGCAGCGUCAUCGGCAAGCUCGGCGAGCUGCUCCAGGCGGAGUACAAGCUGCAGAAGGGCCUGCCUCAGCAAAUCCAGUCUCUGAAAGAUGAGCUCGAGAGUGCGCAGACGGCUCUCAGCAAGGUGGGCGAGGUGCGGCCGGAGCAGCUCGAUCCACAAGUCCGGCUCUGGGCUCGCGAGGUCAGGGAGGCGUCCUACGACAUGGAGGACAUCCUCGACACCUUCCUCGUCGAGGUGACUGACCCAGCGGAGAAGAAGGAUGGCCUGCUGGAACAUCUCAACAAGAAGAUGUCCAAGUUGCUCAAAAAAAGCAAAGCGCGCCACACCAUCGCCGGCGCCAUCGAUGACAUGAAGAAGCGACUCCAGGAGGUGGCUGACCGCCGUGACAGGUUCUCGGUUGCGGUGUCGCAACCUGCGUUGCCAACGAAGCCGGAUCCUCGCCUUGCGGACAUGCACAAAGAAGCGGCGCAGCUCAUCGGCAUCGAGGAGACCAAGGCUGAACUUACAGCCAUGCUUCUGCCGACGCCUCAAGGCAAUGGAGAUUCUGACAUCUCUGGCAGCAAUAACAAGAUGAAUAGUAUCUGUGGUUGGAGUUGGGGGACUGGGCAAGACGACUCUUGCCAAGGCAGUUUACGAUGAGCUUCGUCCGCGAUAUGAUCGUGGAGCAUUUCUUUCCGUUGGCCGGAAACCUGACCUGGCACAAGUCUUGAAAGAAAUCUUCCUUCUUCUAGACAAAAAGGAGUACGAGGCCAUUCGUGAUGUAAAGAACGAAUCCCUGCUUAUUGGUGAACUCCGAAAAUUCCUCCAAAACAAGAGGUACUUCAUUGUUAUUGACGAUGUAUGGGACAUAACAACUUGGAACAUAAUCAAAUCAGUCUUGGUUGAGAAUGACACUAGAAGUAGAGUAAUCACAACUACUCGCAAUCGAGAUGUAGCCAGCAUGGAGGAGGUUUAUAAGUUACGCACACUUUCCCCUGAUCACUCAGAGAAAUUAUUCAAAACGAGGUUGUUUGGUGUUAAUGGUGAAUACCCUGCUAAUCACCCUGCGGAGGCAUGUGAAAAGAUUCUGAAAAAAUGUGGUGGUGUACCAUUAGCUAUCAUCACAAUGGCCAGUUUGCUGGUGGGUAAAUUAAGAGAAGAUUGGUUUGCUGUGUGCAACUCUCCUGGAUUCUAUCGUGGUCAGGGUAACCAGCAAGUAGAUGAUACUGAGUGGAUAUUAUCUCUUAGCUAUUAUGAUCUGCCUUCUUAUCUAAGGACCUGCUUACUGUAUCUAAGUGUGUAUCCAGAAGACAUUGUGAUUGAGAAAAAUUCUUUGAUAUGGAAAUGGAUAGCUGAAGGUUUCGUGGAGAAGAAAAGAGGGACCAGCUUGUUACAGCAGGGAGAGGAAUACUACAAUCAGCUCGUAAAUAGAAGCAUGAUCCAGGCGGUCGAGUCAUUACAUUCCAUGGGCAUUAAUGGCUGUCGUGUUCAUGACAUGGUUCUUGAUCUCAUCCGUGACUUAUCAAAUAAAGAAAACUUUGUGACUAUCUCAUCAAAUGAUGAUGAAGGAAAAUCACCACAUCAGAGCAGGGUGCGCAGGUUAGCUCACCAGAACAUAAUUAUGAAGCAAACACAGCAGGACGAUCACAUGGACAUGGCACAAGUGAGGUCAUUGGUUGCCUUUAGGUGUGAUAUUGAUAGUUGGGUCUUGCAUCCAAGCUUUAAACUCUUGCGAGUGCUAGCUUUAUUGGGAUGCGGUGGACAUUGGGAAGGCUGGCAGGGUCUUAAGCAUAUUGGAAAUCUACUUCAUUUGAGGUACCUUGGGCUACGACGCACAAAUAUUCGUGAGCUCCCAGAAGAAAUAGGAAAACUUAAGUUUCUACAGAUACUUGACUUGGAAGGUUCUAAAGUAGGGCAACUGCCAUCGAGCGUUUGCCAGUUAACGCAGUUGGUCUGCCUAUGUGGUCACUCCCGUUAUACAUGCCCGCCGGAUGGGUUAUUCCUUAGGAAGGUGACAUCAUUAGAGUACCUGCGUAUACGUAUUGAUAACCUGGAUGAGGAGUCCCAGCGGCAAUUUAUGAAGGACCUUGGCAACCUGAGGGAAGUCAGGGUGCUCCACAUUAUUGGCUCGUUGAAAGGGAUGGUGCAGUCAGAUCUAGUGCAUUCACUAGGCAAUCUCCAUAAACUCCAGCAUCUGGAGCUGACGAAAUAUAAUGGCAAUAGUGAAGCCGCAACGAGGGAGUGGGACAGAGUGGUGCUUCCAUAGCAUCUCCGGUAUUUGGAUUUAGAUUCUAUACCGCUCCGUCAGCUACCAUCAUGUAUUAAUCCCGUUCAUCUCCCCGUCCUCCACUACUUGCGGUUGCAUGUGGAUCAUAUGGACGAGUCAAGUCUGCGAAACUUGGGUGGGUUGACAGAGCUCCGUGACCUCAAUUUGUUAACGGCUCGGCCGUCGAUGGCUUGCGCGGCAACUGCAGCUAAUAUAAAUACUGCGGUCGAUGGCUUCUUCAAGAAGUUGAGAUAUUGCUUAUUGCAUGGCUGGAUGGUCCAGUUGGUGCUCAACGAGGACUCCACUGGUGUUUCGGUUAGCAUCUGGAAUGGGAUGGGUGCUAUAGCAUUUGGUUCCAAAACAAAGGACGAGUACAGCAGAUCAAUAGCACCACAACCAGUGAUGCCGAACCUCCAAGAGCUUCUGCUUUACGUUCCCGUCAGGGACUUUUAUAAGGAUGGAAAUGGUAGCUGCGGUGAUCUCAGGCUGGAGUGCCUCCCUUCGCUUUGCAGUGUCAUAAUAUUUGUCGACUGUAUGGAUGCCUCUACUAAUGACGUGGAGAAGGCAGAGGCUGAGCUGAGGAAUGCAGCAAAACUCUAUCCCAACGGGCCCAUAAUCAGACUCCAACGACUCCUUGAACAUAGGAUGAUGGCACGAUCUACAGACCAAGAUGACAAAGAGUCCGUCGAUGUUUCCGCGAAAGAAGAGGAGCGCGGGGCCUCAGCAACUGGCGAUGAAGUCGCUGUCACGGAGUCAGGAGGUGACAACCCCGCGACGCCUAGCUGUUGAAUCUGUUCAAUGCAAAUCAGUCUUGCUAUGACAAAGAGGUACUUGCAGUGCAUGGUAUUUCUAGAUUCAUAUAGUGUAUAUAUGGAUGAAUACCAAAAGCUAUGAACCUACGUAUGCUAAAACGACCUACAAUUUGGGAUGGAGAGACUACCUUAUGUGUGUGUAUAUAUUGUUUGGUAGUAUUUUAUAUAUUACAUUUGACAUUUACAUACGUACAUAUAUCCGUUCUUGUGGCAGAGUUCUGUUUCUGGUGACUUAUUAACCUGAAUGAAUCUAUGUCAGUGCAUUUUGGCCACCUGAA